rnacentral:piRNA from 1 species
GUGUUCCUAGGAAAAGUUAGUUGGCUGAAU